rnacentral:lncRNA from 1 species
UUUUGUCCCAAUGGGUUUUCUUGACAAGGUUUUUAAUGAGGCUUAAGUAACAUUUUCAAGCCCCUUUAUCAAUCCAAUUCGUGGUCCAAGGCCCACUCACAAAGCCUUGGCCCAUUUUCCCUUUUCUCUUCAACUUAACAUUUAUUACUUGUUGUUAUUUCCAAGACUCUUGCAUGAGCUUGCAUGAGUGUAACUUACAAGACACUUGUGCAUGCUCUUGCAUGUCUUCUCUUC